rnacentral:rRNA from 1 species
UACGUAGGUGGCAAGCGUUGUUCGGAAUUAUUGGGCGUAAAGGGCGCGUAGGCGGUUUGUCGCGUCUGCCGUGAAAGUCCGGGGCUCAACUCCGGAUCUGCGGUGGGUACGGGCAGACUAGAGUGAUGUAGGGGAGACUGGAAUUCCUGGUGUAGCGGUGAAAUGCGCAGAUAUCAGGAGGAACACCGAUGGCGAAGGCAGGUCUCUGGGCAUUAACUGACGCUGAGGAGCGAAAGCAUGGGGAGCGAACAGG